rnacentral:rRNA from 1 species
UACGGGGGGAGCAAGCGUUGUUCGGAAUCACUGGGCGUAAAGGGAGUCUAGGCGGUUUGGUAAGUGGGAUGUGAAAUCCCCGGGCUCACCCCGGGACCUGCAUCCCAAACUGCUGAGCUUGAGUACAGGAGAGGGUGGGGGAAUUCCAGGUGUAGCGGUGAAAUGCGUAGAUAUCUGGAGGAACACCGGUGGCGAAGGCGCCCACCUGGCCUGCUACUGACGCUGAAGCGCGACAGCAUGGGGAGCAAACGGG